UGCUUAUCACGUUAAAUGAUAAUUCGUCCAUACUUUUUAUUUAUUCUGUUUGGAAUUGAUAUUCUUGAAUGAAUACUCACUCCAAUCACCUCCACACGGUGAUAGUUUAUCACCAAUUCAAUAUUUUUCUUCUUCCAUUAAAAAAAAUGUGAGGAGUUAGCUAUAAUCGGCUCCCAAUACAACAAUUUUGUUUACAUUUUUUUCUGCAUUUAUCCACAAUAAUUUUCGCGUUAUGCACUCAUUGCUUCGAUAUUCACUGGUUCCCACAUGAAAAAUCUGGCAUUUAUUGUCUUCAAGUGAAGGAACAAUGGAUUGCAUGUCAGCAGGCAAUUCUUUUCAUCUCUCUGGUGUAAUUGAAGAAAUUUUUCUGGGGAUCAUGAUGAUCUUCCAGAGGUAUCCGAACAGCAAGGAUAGUCCUACCAUAA